rnacentral:rRNA from 1 species
GGGGCGGCCAUAACUGCAGUCGAGCGAACCACUUCGGUGGGAAGCGGCGAACGGGUGAGUAACACGUAGGUGAUCUGCCCAUCAGACGGGGACAACGAUUGGAAACGAUCGCUAAUACCGGAUAGGACGAAAGUUUAAAGAUGCUCCUGGCAUCACUGAUGGAUGAGCCUGCGGCGCAUUAGCUAGUUGGUGGGGUAAAGGCCUACCAAGGCGACGAUGCGUAGCCGACCUGAGAGGGUGAACGGCCACACUGGGACUGAGACACGGCCCAGACUCCUACGGGAGGCAGCAGUAGGGAAUCUUCGGCAAUGGGCGAAAGCCUGACCGAGCAACGCCGCGUGAAUGAAGAAGGCCUUCGGGUUGUAAAAUUCUGUUAUAAGGGAAGAAAGGUGAUAGGAGGAAAUGACUAUCAAUUGACGGUACCUUAUGAGAAAGCCACGGCUAACUACGUGCCAGCAGCCGCGGUAAUACGUAGGUGGCAAGCGUUAUCCGGAAUUAUUGGGCGUAAAGAGCGCGCAGGUGGUUAAUUAAGUCUGAUGUGAAAGCCCACGGCUUAACCGUGGAGGGUCAUUGGAAACUGGUUGACUUGAGUGCAGAAGAGGGAAGUGGAAUUCCAUGUGUAGCGGUGAAAUGCGUAGAGAUAUGGAGGAACACCAGUGGCGAAGGCGGCUUCCUGGUCUGCAACUGACACUGAGGCGCGAAAGCGUGGGGAGCAAACAGGAUUGGAUACCCUGGUAGUCCACGCCGUAA